CACCCAGCCACUUUUCCAUCGAGGUGAGGGGUUUAGAUCAGUGUGGGUGAGUCCCGCAUUGUCCCUUUGCUUCUACAAGCAGAAGGGACUGGAAUUCGGAUCCCACUAAAGCGGCUCAGGAAUUGCUUGACAGGAUCAGAUCAAAGGUGGAAGUAUAAAGCGGAAAUUCAGAAAUCCAGCCAGGCAUGUCCAGGUGAAAUCUCAUUUUGAUUUGGCCAAGUUACAACAUUUUGAAAAUCAUUCUUUGUGAGUGAUCAGUCAGUUCGUGUAAAUGUGGAGUAACUCCAGUGCAUCACUCAGGGGGUGGAUUUCUAGUUGUACCGAUGUACGUUUAUAGCGGAGACCUGGCCUGAGCAGCUGACGCAGCUACACCUGCUUAACUCCUGAGCUGUAAAGAGUUUUCUGUGCGAGGUCUGAUUUGCAGUGGCUACGUACCGAUUACCUGUUGCUUUUCCAGGAGAACAGUGGGAACUUGGUAUCACGAACAACUUUGAGCACAAUUGUAUUCUGUGCAGUCUUCCUCUUUGUUCUUUUUGAAAGUACCGCCCGAUGGUGCAGGCAGGGCAGUCCGGUCCGGUACACCAUACCACUAAGAUAGUUAUAGCCGGUACAGUGUACCGGAAAGACACAGGAGGAACCUGCCCCCAGCUCUCUAUGUGUUAUGUGGACUGCAUCCAUGAAAUAUAUAGCGACCCCUGCAAAUCUCUGGAUAUCCACUUCAUAUCCACGGACCAUUUUUGCAGACAGUGGAUCGGAUGUGGAGACAGCCACACAGGGUUCUACUCACCGGCGGCACCUGGCCCUCAGCAUCCGGCUUGGGCAGCCUGCGGGGCACAGUGUGCUCAGGGCUGGCGACCAGCAGCCAGUGGCUCGGGCUGGGUGGGAGGCUGGAGUCGGGGCUGUCCAG